GUGCCAGCCGCCGCGGUAAUACGGAGGAUGCAAGCGUUAUCCGGAAUGAUUGGGCGUAAAGCGUCCGCAGGUGGCUUUGUAAGUCUGCUGUUAAAGAGUGAGGCUCAACCUCAUAAAAGCAGUGGAAACUACAAGGCUUGAGUACGUUCGGGGCAGAGGGAAUUCCUGGUGUAGCGGUGAAAUGCGUAGAGACCAGGAAGAACACCGGUGGCGAAAGCGCUCUGCUAGGCCGUAACUGACACUGAGGGACGAAAGCUAGGGGAGCGAAUGGGAUUAGAUACCCCAGUAGUCCUAGCCGUAAACGAUGGAUACUAGGCGUUGUCUGUAUCGACCCGGACAGUGCCGUAGCUAACGCGUUAAGUAUCCCGCCUGGGGAGUACGCAGGCAACUGUGAAACUCAAAGGAAUUGACGGGGGCCCGCACAAGCGGUGGAGUAUGUGGUUUAAUUCGAUGCAACGCGAAGAACCUUACCAGGACUUGACAUGUCGCGAAUCUUGAUGAAAGUCAGGAGUGCCUUCGGGAGCGCGAACACAGGUGGUGCAUGGCUGUCGUCAGCUCGUGUCGUGAGAUGUUGGGUUAAGUCCCGCAACGAGCGCAACCCUCGUUUUUAGUUGCCAGCAUUAAGUUGGGCACUCUAGAGAGACUGCCGGUGACAAACCGGAGGAAGGUGGGGAUGACGUCAAGUCAGCAUGCCCCUUACGCCUUGGGCUACACACGUACUACAAUGCUCCGGACAGAAGGCAGCAAGCAUGCGAAUGCAAGCAAAUCCCGUAAACCGGAGCUCAGUUCAGAUCGCAGGCUGCAACUCGCCUGCGUGAAGGAGGAAUCGCUAGUAAUUGCAGGUCAGCAUACUGCAGUGAAUUCGUUCCCGGGCCUUGUACACACCGCCCGUCACACCAUGGAAGCUGGUAGUGCCCGAAGUCAUUACUCCAACCUUUCGGGGGGGAGGAUGCCUAAGGCAGGACUGGUGACUGGGGUGAAGUCGUAACAAGGUAACC
rnacentral:rRNA from 1 species